AUGAGGUUGUUUCAUAUGUUGUCUGUGGUGGUUCUUCUAAUCAUGGGGGGUUCAAAGGACGUUUUGAGAAGAGUGUUUGCACCCAUUAUGGGAGGUCAGACCAUAAAACUGCUUCUUGCUUCAAAAUUAUUGGUUAUCCAUAAUGGUGGAAUAAUGGACGUGGAAAUGGAAAGAGCACCGGGAAAGUCAAAUGUGUUGUUGGUGAUGGAAAUGGUACUCUCGGUGUUGCUAAUGGUGCUCAAUCUGGAACACCAUCCUUUUCUGCCUCAUGUGUUUUGA